GCUUCUGAUUUUCGGUGCUGGAGGAAGAGAAAUUUAAUUUUGUGAGGGGAAUGAUUAGUUGCAGACGAAAAAAGUUGAGGUGAAGAAGGAAGAUCCGUGAGUCAUUUUUUUCUGUUGAGAGAGAGUCGAUCCAAUUUUAGAGACAAAUGGUUUUUAGCGUGAGGGAGUUUUUUUACUUACGGUCGUGUUUUGAAUGUUUAUUUAUGAUAAACAUUUUUU
rnacentral:lncRNA from 1 species